CCGUGCUUGGUGUUGGAUGGCUUGGUCGCGGUGACGUGACCCCUCCUAAAGACAAUGACGGCGGCCUGUGGUUCCCCCGGUACACUGAGCUUUUAACGAGCACGUAUCGGACAAGGUGCCCGGGACCCGGUCUUCUCCCUCCACCGGGAAAUUUUUCAAUGGUUGACCUCGGAUCAGGUAGGAAUACGCGCUGAACUUAA
rnacentral:misc_RNA from 1 species